GUAAGGAAUAUUGCGCAAUGGAGGCAACUCUGACGCAGCCAUGCCGCGUGCAGGAAGAAGGCGCUACGCGUUGUAAACUGCUUUUAACCGGGAAGAAACCCCAGGACGUGUCCUGGGUUGACGGUACCGGAGGAAUAAGCACCGGCUAACUUCGUGCCAGCAGCCGCGGUAAUACGAAGGGUGCAAGCGUUAUCCGGAUUCAUUGGGUUUAAAGGGUGCGUAGGCGGAGCAUUAAGUCAGUGGUGAAAUCCUGCAGCUUAACUGUAGACUUGCCAUUGAUACUGGCGCUCUUGAGUGCGCUUGAAGUGGGCGGAAUGUGCCGUGUAGCGGUGAAAUGCUUAGAUAUGGCACAGAACACCAAUUGCGAAGGCAGCUCACUAAGGCGAUACUGACGCUGAGGCACGAAAGCGUGGGGAUCGAACAGGAUUAGAAACCCCAGUAGUCC
rnacentral:rRNA from 1 species